rnacentral:rRNA from 1 species
AAGGCUAAAUACUCCUGACUGACCGAUAGUGAACCAGUACCGUGAGGGAAAGGCGAAAAGAACCCCGGCGAGGGGAGUGAAAAAGAACCUGAAACCGUGUACGUACAAGCAGUGGGAGCCCCACCACUAAGCCAGUGGUGAACUCCACAUACGCAUCCUUUGCUGAAGGUGCGGUUAACGGAGCGCAAGCGACGUUCAACCUCAAAAGAAGCAGAGGGGGCUUAGUGGUGGGGUGACUGCGUACCUUUUGUAUAAUGGGUCAGCGACUUAUAUUCUGUAGCAAGGUUAACCGCAUAGGGGAGCCGGAGGGAAACCGAGUCUUAAUUGGGCGUUAAGUUGCAGGGUAUAGACCCGAAACCCGGUGAUCUAGCCAUGGGCAGGUUGAAGGUUGGGUAACACUAACUGGAGGACCGAACCGAC